UGCAACAAUAACAUGUUUGCGCUCUCUGAUGGAACCAGCUAAUACUUGAAAUAUACAAAAGCUCAGGUAUACAAGUCCUCAAAGUGGUUUGAAGAAUCUAACACUGAUGAAAACAAGAUAUAGUUGCUGGAGUUGUCUAACAUACAGAAUAUUUUGAGUUCAGAAGUAAAGGAUUUGAGUGAAUGUGCAGAGAAGGUCAAUGAUUAUUACAUGGAUGAAACAUUCUUGUCAGCUGAAUUCAUAGUUGCUAUGGAGAAAAGCUUGCUGGAAUGCGUUGGACAAAGCACAUUCUAAUGAAAUAAGCAUGAUAGCACUGGCUAGUUUGGAUGAGCUCGAUUCAAUGAGAGUGAAUGGUGAAUGCAUAUCAGAUAUUUCCAGCAUAUCAGAGCAGUGUAUUCGUAAAGAUUACUUGGUUGAGCAGAAGAUCAAUGUGACUCCGGAAAAGUGUGUGAUUGCGAUUCCAAAACUAGGUUGAAAUUGGACAACACUCAUAACAAGAU